UUACCUCAGUAACGGCGAGUGAAGCGGUAACAGCUCAAAUUUGAAAUCUGGCAGCAAUGUCCGAGUUGUAAUUUGUAGAGGAUGUUUCGAGCAUGGUCUGGCCUAAGUUCCUUGGAACAGGACGUCAUAGAGGGUGAGAAUCCCGUAUGCGGUCAGGUGCCUACGCUCAUGUGAAACUCCUUCGACGAGUCGAGUUGUUUGGGAAUGCAGCUCAAAAUGGGUGGUAAAUUUCAUCUAAAGCUAAAUAUUGGCCAGAGACCGAUAGCGCACAAGUAGAGUGAUCGAAAGAUGAAAAGCACUUUGGAAAGAGAGUUAAACAGUACGUGAAAUUGUUGAAAGGGAAGCGCUUGCAACCAGACUUGCACGCAGCUGAUCAUCCGCUGUUCUCAGUGGUGCACUCGGUUGCGUUCAGGCCAGCAUCGGUUUUGGUGGUGGGAUAAAGGCCUUAGGAAUGUAGCUGCUUUCGGGCAGUGUUAUAGCCUAGGGUGCAAUGCCGCCUACUGGGACCGAGGACCGCGCUUCGGCUAGGAUGCUGGCGUAAUGGUUGUAAGCGACCCGUCUUGAAACACGGACCAAGGAGUCUAACAUCUAUGCGAGUGUUUGGGUGUCAAACCCAUACGCGUAAUGAAAGUGAACGGAGGUCAGAACCCUUAAGGGUGCAUGAUCGACCGGUCCUGAAGUCUUCGGAUGGAUCUGAGUAAGAGCAUAGCUGUUGGGACCCGAAAGAUGGUGAACUAUGCCUGAAUAGGGUGAAGCCAGAGGAAACUCUGGUGGAGGCUCGCAGCGGUUCUGACGUGCAAUCGAUCGUCAAAUUUGGGGUAUAGGGGGCGAAAGGACUUAAUUCGGAA
rnacentral:rRNA from 1 species